AUGCCAGCUUUGCAUGAUGCACCGAUCCUGACGAGACGUGAGGCACUCUCCUGGUGCUUUUCUGCACCUACACCUGCCCCCAUAGAUACCAUUAUCUUGUUCUCUUCUUUUUUGGAAUUGAAGUUCACACAUAACAGAGGAAGAAAAGUUCAGAGAGAUUUUGCAUACAAAAUUCAGAAAAAUGCUAUUCAGAUAGUGAUGCACUUUUUUCAUUAUAUAUGUACGUACAUGUUUAUGCUAGCUCGUACUCUCUUUUGCUAUCACUUUGUUAAGGUUCUGGAUUUGAAAACUAUGUGCAUGUUGAAGAGAAGCAACAAUCUGUGCGAGAAGUUCAAAUAUAAUGACAACACAUGUUCAUGUAUUACCAAGAGAGUGAGAGGAGGCCGAGCUUUUGCACCACAUCCAACACGACCUCCCGUCCGGCGACUCCGUGAGCCAGAGGCAUGCACGUCCUCGUCUGCCUUGUAUGCUGCCCAGCAGACAAGAUUCAAACUGCUCCAUGCGACUCGCUGCAAUACGGAUUGGGGUGGAGGCACUGUCCAAGUAAGAACAUUGUUGUAA
rnacentral:rRNA from 1 species